AAGGCUUUAAGUUAAAGCAAACUAAUAACCUUCAAAGCUAUAAAUAAAGAAAUAUUCUUUAAGCCUUA
rnacentral:tRNA from 2 species